rnacentral:rRNA from 1 species
UUNAGUGGGGAAUAACUGUUGGAAACGACAGCUAAUACCGCAUAAUAUUGCUGGAUAAUUUCCAGUAAUGAAAGAAGCUUUCAAGCUCCGCUGAUUGAUGAGGAUGCGGCGCAUUAGCUAGUUGGUAGGGUAAUGGCCUACCAAGGCAAUGAUGCGUAGCCGAUCUGAGAGGAUGAACGGCCACAUUGGGACUGAGACACGGCCCAAACUUCUACGGAAGGCAGCAGUAGGGAAUUUUUCACAAUGGGCGAAAGCCUGAUGGAGCAAUGCCGCGUGACUGAUGAAGGUCUUCGGAUUGUAAAGGUCUGUUGUAAGGGAAGAAAAGGUAAAACAGGAAAUGGUUUUAUCUAUGACGGUACCUUACCAGAAAGCCACGGCUAACUAUGUGCCAGCAGCCGCGGUAAUACAUAGGUGGCAAGCGUUAUCCGGAUUUAUUGGGCGUAAAGGGUGCGUAGACGGUUUUGCAAGUCUGANGUUAAAUUUAGGAGCUCAACUCCUAAUCGCCUUGGAAACUACAAGACUAGAGUAUAGGAGAGGUUAGUGGAAUUCCAUGUGUAGCGGUGGAAUGUGUAGAUAUAUGGAGGAACACCAGUGGCGA